CCACAUGGGGCACACCUGUUUAUCCAGCUCCAUCUCAGAUCCUGCCUUCCCAAUGUGCCUCUGACAGGCACAGAAGUGAAACACAUGGAGCUCCUUUUGGCCUAGUGCUGUUUAUUGUCACAUUUAAUUCUCAGUCCCACCGUAUGGAGUGAUUGUCUGCAUUUUAUAAUUAAGGAUCCUGUGGAACCAGGGAGUUCAAGCAACUUGUUCAAGGAAACACGACUAGUAAGUGGCCCACGUAGUACUUGAGCCCAGCUCUUUCCGGCAACAGAAACCAGGCACUUUUCAAUGUGCUACCCAGCCUCUUCAGGCAACAGGAACUCUGCAGACACCUCAGCUCACUCCAAUCUAUUGACCAACUUGAAUGUGUUACCACUGCCGAGCAGGGGAGUGUACACGAAGACACAUUCGUAGAUCGUGCAUGAGACAGGAGAUAGCUCCUUUUCAUUCAGCCAAGUAGAUUUGAAAUCCCCCUUUUCUAGAAAACGUUCCUGGCCCCACCUGAAUCCACUUAGCUAUAGAACAUCAUACCUCCCUCCUUCCCUGUUUCAACCGCCGAAUGAUUGUCCUUUGAGACAGUUACAGAGCAGUGGCAGAAGCAUUUCAGACCACCCGCAAGGCAACUGCCUGCGUGUUUGCAUGGGGGAUCCUGUCGCAGGAUUUUGGCCCACAGAAGGCAGGGGCCUGGGCUGCCUGAGUCACUGUAGGUAAGGCAGCAAAUCCCAAAUCAGCCCUGAGUCAUCCGCACCCACCCCUCUCUCACUGUCAGCCACCUUUCCAGGGGUAACACCUGAAUCACCUUCUCUGCCUUCAGGAAGUGCACAUCUUAACCGAAACAAUAGCAGAGUCUCUCCUCAGAAGAUUUGCAGCCUCAGCGCGGCAUGCUUUGCUAUGACUCAGAGCCUGCAAAUGCUGAAAAUACUACCACCAUGUUCCUCGGGAUGACAAAUCCUCCCAAAUGCUAUCACUACGGACUUCCUUCCACGGCAGGCUUCGUGCCCAGUCUGCAAGUCAGCGUAAGCCCUAAGGCUCUGGGCUUCAGGAAAGCAAGUUUGAUUUCUGGAGGCCAUGUGGCACCCGCUUAUUCUCGGUCACAAUACAUGCCAACGUGCGGCAGGCUGGUUACGAUCACAUAUUUGCUAUUGUAAACUGAAGCAAGCUCGAGGCCUGAGCAUCGAAGCCGGUUCAAAAGUCAUCACAAGUUUUCUCUUCCAGGGGAAGAAUAAAGAACUUCCAAUUAAAGUGUAGAGUGGAGCC
rnacentral:lncRNA from 1 species